rnacentral:rRNA from 1 species
GAUGAACGCUGGCGGCGUGCCUAAUACAUGCAAGUCGAGCGAACAGACGAGGAGCUUGCUCCUCUGACGUUAGCGGCGGACGGGUGAGUAACACGUGGAUAACCUACCUAUAAGACUGGGAUAACUUCGGGAAACCGGAGCUAAUACCGGAUAAUAUAUUGAACCGCAUGGUUCAAUAGUGAAAGACGGUUUUGCUGUCACUUAUAGAUGGAUCCGCGCCGCAUUAGCUAGUUGGUAAGGUAACGGCUUACCAGGGCAACGAUGCGUAGCCGACCUGAGAGGGGGUCCCCCCCACGUGGACCGGAACACGGGCCAGACCCCCACGGGGGGGACGGGGUGGGAAUGUUUCCGAAAGGGGGGAAAGCCUAACGGACCAUCCCCGGGGGGGGAAUAAGGGCUUCGGGUUGUAAAACCCCUUUUUUGGGGAAAAAAAAAAUGGGGAAAAAACUUUGCCGUUCUUGCGGGUCCCUAAUAAAAAACCCACGCUAACCUCGGU